rnacentral:rRNA from 1 species
UACGUAGGGUGCGAGCGUUAAUCGGAAUUACUGGGCGUAAAGCGUGCGCAGGCGGUCUGUUAGACAGAUGUGAAAUCCCCGGGCUUAACCUGGGAACUGCAUUUGUGACUGGCAGGCUAGAGUAUGGCAGAGGGGGGUAGAAUUCCACGUGUAGCAGUGAAAUGCGUAGAGAUGUGGAGGAAUACCGAUGGCGAAGGCAGCCCCCUGGGCCAAUACUGACGCUCAUGCACGAAAGGCGUGG